UACGAAGGGUGCAAGCGUUAAUCGGAAUUACUGGGCGUAAAGCGCGCGUAGGUGGUUCGUUAAGUUAGGAGUGAAAGCCCCGGGCUCAACCUGGGAAUUGCUUCUAAAACUGGCGAGCUAGAGUAUGGUAGAGGGUGGUGGAAUUUCCUGUGUAGCGGUGAAAUGCGUAGAUAUAGGAAGGAACAUCAGUGGCGAAGGCGACCACCUGGACUGAUACUGACACUGAGGUGCGAAAGCGUGGGGAGCAAACAGGAUUAGAUACCCCGGUAGUCCCUGAG
rnacentral:rRNA from 1 species